rnacentral:rRNA from 1 species
AGUGAACGCUGGCGGUAGGCCUAACACGCACGUCGACCGGCAGCACAGUAAGAGCUUGCUCUUACGGGUGGCGAGUGGCGGACGGGUGAGGAAUACAUCGGAAUCUACUUUUUCGUGGGGGAUAACGUAGGGAAACUUACGCUAAUACCGCAUACGACCUACGGGUGAAAGCAGGGGAUCUUCGGACCUUGCGCGAUUGAAUGAGCCGAUGUCGGAUUAGCUAGUUGGCGGGGUAAAGGCCCACCAAGGCGACGAUCCGUAGCUGGUCUGAGAGGAUGAUCAGCCACACUGGAACUGAGACACGGUCCAGACUCCUACGGGAGGCAGCAGUGGGGAAUAUUGGACAAUGGGCGCAAGCCUGAUCCAGCCAUACCGCGUGGGUGAAGAAGGCCUUCGGGUUGUAAAGCCCUUUUGUUGGGAAAGAAAAGCAGCAGGUUAAUACCCCGCUGUUCUGACGGUACCCAAAGAAUAAGCAUCGGCUAACUUCGUG